GCUGGGUGCAGUGGUGCACACCUGUAAUCCCUGCUACUCAGGAGGCUGAGGCAGGAAAAUCACAAGUUUGAAACCAACCAAACCAACUUAACUUUGAGAUCCUGUCUCAA
rnacentral:sRNA from 1 species